UACGUAGGGGGCAAGCGUUGUCCGGAAUCAUUGGGCGUAAAGAGCGUGUAGGCGGUCCGGUAAGUCGGCUGUGAAAGUCCAGGGCUCAACCCUGGGAUGCCGGUCGAUACUGCCGGACUAGAGUUCGGAAGAGGCGAGUGGAAUUCCCGGUGUAGCGGUGAAAUGCGCAGAUAUCGGUAGGAACACCUAUGGCGAAGGCAGCUCGCUGGGACGUUACUGACGCUGAGACGCGAAAGCGUGGGGAGCAAACAGG
rnacentral:rRNA from 1 species